GAUGAACGCUGGCGGCGUGCCUAAUACAUGCAAGUCGAGCGAACGGACGAGAAGCUUGCUUCUCUGAUGUUAGCGGCGGACGGGUGAGUAACACGUGGAUAACCUACCUAUAAGACUGGGAUAACUUCGGGAAACCGGAGCUAAUACCGGAUAAUAUUUUGAACCGCAUGGUUCAAAAGUGAAAGACGGUCUUGCUGUCACUUAUAGAUGGAUCCGCGCUGCAUUAGCUAGUUGGUAAGGUAACGGCUUACCAAGGCAACGAUGCAUAGCCGACCUGAGAGGGUGAUCGGCCACACUGGAACUGAGACACGGUCCAGACUCCUACGGGAGGCAGCAGUAGGGAAUCUUCCGCAAUGGGCGAAAGCCUGACGGAGCAACGCCGCGUGAGUGAUGAAGGUCUUCGGAUCGUAAAACUCUGUUAUAAGGGAAGAACAUAUGUGUAAGUAACUGUGCACAUCUUGACGGUACCUAAUCAGAAAGCCACGGCUAACUACGUG
rnacentral:rRNA from 1 species